rnacentral:rRNA from 1 species
UACGUAGGUGGCAAGCGUUAUCCGGAAUUAUUGGGCGUAAAGCGCGCGCAGGCGGUUUCUUAAGUCUGAUGUGAAAGCCCACGGCUCAACCGUGGAGGGUCAUUGGAAACUGGGGAACUUGAGUGCAGAAGAGAAAAGCGGAAUUCCACGUGUAGCGGUGAAAUGCGUAGAGAUGUGGAGGAACACCAGUGGCGAAGGCGGCUUUUUGGUCUGUAACUGACGCUGAGGCGCGAAAGCGUGGAGAGCAAACAGG